rnacentral:rRNA from 1 species
UACGUAGGGUGCAAGCGUUGUCCGGAAUUAUUGGGCGUAAAGAGCUCGUAGGCGGUUUGUCGCGUCUGCUGUGAAAACUCGGGGCUUAACCCCGGGCCUGCAGUGGGUACGGGCAGACUAGAGUGCGGUAGGGGAGACUGGAUUCCUGGUGUAGCGGUGAAAUGCGCAGAUAUCAGGAGGAACACCGGUGGCGAAGGCGGGUCUCUGGGCCGUAACUGACGCUGAGGAGCGAAAGCAUGGGGAGCGAACAGG